GAUGAACGCUGGCGGCGUGCCUAAUACAUGCAAGUCGAGCGAACAGAUGAGGAGCUUGCUCCUCUGACGUUAGCGGCGGACGGGUGAGUAACACGUGGAUAACCUACCUAUAAGACUGGGAUAACUUCGGGAAACCGGAGCUAAUACCGGAUAAUAUAUUGAACCGCAUGGUUCAAUAGUGAAAGACGGUUUUGCUGUCACUUAUAGAUGGAUCCGCGCCGCAUUAGCUAGUUGGUAAGGUAACGGCUUACCAAGGCAACGACGCGUAGCCGACCUGAGAGGGUGAUCGGCCACACUGGAACUGAGACACGGUCCAGACUCCUACGGGAGGCAGCAGUAGGGAAUCUUCCGCAAUGGGCGAAAGCCUGACGGAGCAACGCCGCGUGAGUGAUGAAGGUCUUCGGAUCGUAAAACUCUGUUAUUAGGGAAGAACAAAUGUGUAAGUAACUAUGCACGUCUUGACGGUACCUAAUCAGAAAGCCACGGCUAACUACGUG
rnacentral:rRNA from 1 species